GGUAUUGUAACUCAGUGGUAGAGCACCUGUCUCGAAAGCGUGAGGCCCUGGGUUCAGUCCCAGCACCA
rnacentral:tRNA from 1 species